rnacentral:rRNA from 1 species
GAGUUUGAUCCUGGCUCAGUUGAUGNUGAUCAGAUGACGCUAGCGCAGCUACACAUGCAAGUCGAGGGUAACAGGUAGCUGCUAUGCUGACGACCGGGCGCACGGGUGAGUAACGCGUAUACACUCUCCUUGUACUGGAGGGAUAGCCCAGAGAAAUUUGGAUUAAAUACUCUCAUAGCAUAUAGACUCGCACGUGGAGAUUAUAUUAAAGGUUUGCGGUACAAAGAUGAGUAUGCGUUCUAUUAGCUAGAUGGUGAGGUAACAGCUUACCAUGACAACGAUAGAUAGGGGCCUCUGAGAGGGGGAUCCCCCACACUGGUACUGAGACACGGACCAGACUCCUACGGGAGGCAGCAGUGAGGAAUAUUGGACAAUGGGCGAGAGCCUGAUCCAGCCAUGCCGCGUGCAGGAUGACUGCCCUAUGGGUUGUAAACUGCUUUUAUACAGGAAGAAACACUCCCUCGUGAGGGAGCUUGACGGUACUGUAAGAAUAAGGAUCGGCUAACUCCGUGCCAGCAGCCGCGGUAAUACGGAGGAUCCAAGCGUUAUCCGGAAUCAUUGGGUUUAAAGGGUCCGUAGGUGGAUAAUUAAGUCAGAGGUGAAAUCCUGCAGCUCAACUGUAGAAUUGCCUUUGAUACUGGUUAUCUUGAGUUAUUAUGAAGUAGUUAGAAUAUGUGGUGUAGCGGUGAAAUGCAUAGAUAUCACAUAGAAUACCAAUUGCGAAGGCAGAUUACUAAUAAUAUACUGACACUGAUGGACGAAAGCGUGGGGAGCGAACAGGAUUAGAUACCCUGGUAGUCCACGCCGUAAACGAUGGUUACUAGUUGUUCGAACUUCGGUUUGAGUGACUAAGCGAAAGUGAUAAGUAACCCACCUGGGGAGUACGUUCGCAAGAAUGAAACUCAAAGGAAUUGACGG